rfam:Ktedonobacter racemifer DSM 44963 strain SOSP1-21 Krac_Contig205, whole genome shotgun sequence.
CCCGAUGUUCUGCCAUCGGUACUCUACUAGGACAUGCAGCAGGGGCAACCAUGUUGUGUGAAGCUCCUAGGACAAUGUAGCCUCACUCGAGAGAGUGGCGCUCCAUCCGUGAGGAAGAAGCGUGACUGCUAGCACGAAAGCGGUCUGGAGC